rnacentral:tRNA from 1 species
GUCGGGAUAGCUCAGCUGGUAAAGCAAAGGACUGAAAAUCCUCGUUUCACCAGUUCAAAU